CCUUAGCUUUUCCUCGAUUCAGUAGGUUACCAUGGUUAAGAAAUCAAAAAUAAAGCACCUUGAAAAUAAACGGUAUUGGCCUUGAUUAUACCUUUGUAUGAAAAUGAAAUGAAGAUUAAUCAAUCAACAAACGACAGUUUGGUAAAUCCGGCCAUUUCUGUACUUUUCAGUUUCAGCCAGUACUUACAGACUAAAAUUAGAUUAGGCAAACGUCAACCAUUAUCACUUCUUUUCCGAAACCACUGCAAUUGAUUUAAGGAUGUCGACUCAGAAAAAUCCAUACCGUCAUCGAAAUUGUUUCGAUUCUUUUCCAAUGAAGAAACCGGAAACUCGCGACAGAAAAAAACUUCAGGUUACAUCGCUUCAUUCUCAUGGGACAGCUGUAAAUCAACGUCGUCGAGCUACAUUCAACGAAUGCUACUGCGAUACAUUAAAAAGAAACGCAUUUAGAGAUCAACGUGAUUUAGUUCAAGAAUCAGAUAUAGAGAAUUUGCAUGAUAAUAAUCUUAUCUCGAACAUCUGCCACAAUGACGAGAUUAGUUGCACAAAACGCGAUAAAUAUCGAUAUCCGCUGCCGCAGUUCUAUUUCAAUGACUUGGAUGAUUUUCUUCAAGGUUACGAAAACGUUGAUUCGCGAUUUUCUCACAUUUAUACAUCUUUGCCCUUAGUCAACAAUUAUAAACGGUGGUUGUCUGACAUCAUCGAAUAUCGUAAGAGAAACUGGAAGGAAUGCCAUGCGAAUUUUUUCUCCGUGUAAUUAAUUUAUAGAAUAAAAUUCGAAAAAAAAACAUGUGUAUAUUUACAAAAAAGAAAUGCAUUAUAAAAACGAUACAAUGUAUAAAUAUUACAUUUGCUGAUCAUCGAUAGUUGAA